CCUACGGGAGGCAGCAGUGAGGAAUAUUGGUCAAUGGGCGGGAGCCUGAACCAGCCAAGUCGCGUGAGGGAAGACGGUCCUAUGGAUUGUAAACCUCUUUAGGCGGGGAGCAAAGCCGGGACCGCGGGCGCGGAGGGAGAGUACCAGCAGAAUAAGUAUGCGCUAACUCCGCGCCAGCAGCCGCGGGAAUACGGAGGAGGCGAGCGUUAUCCGGAUAUAGUGGGUUUAGAGGGUGCGUAGGCGGUUUUUUAAGUCAGCGGUAAAAUGUCCGGGCUCAACCCGGGCCGGCCGUUGAAACGGGGGAUCGUGAGUGUGCGAGAGGUAUGCGGAAUGCGUGGUGUAGCGGUGAAAUGCAUAGAUAGCACGCAGAACUCCGAUUGCGAAGGCAGCAUACCGGCGCCCGACUGACGCUGAGGCACGAAAGCGUGGGUAUCGAACAGGAUUAGAUACCCCAGUAGUC
rnacentral:rRNA from 1 species